rnacentral:rRNA from 1 species
CGGCGAGUGAAGCGGCAAUAGCUCAAAUUUGAAAGCUGGCGCCUUCGGCGUCCGCGUUGUAAUUUGUAGAGGAUGCUUCGGCGAGGACUCCUGCCUAAGUCCCCUGGAACGGGGCGUCACAGAGGGUGAGAAUCCCGUACGUGGCGGGCGGUCCGAGCCAUGUGAAGCUCCUUCGACGAGUCGAGUUGUUUGGGAAUGCAGCUCUAAAUGGGAGGUAAAUUUCUUCUAAAGCUAAAUAUUGGCCAGAGACCGAUAGCGCACAAGUAGAGUGAUCGAAAGAUGAAAAGCACUUUGGAAAGAGAGUUAAAAAGUACGUGAAAUUGUUGAAAGGGAAGCGCUUGCAACCAGACUCGCUCGCAGUUGCUCAGCCGGCCUCUUGGCCGGUGUACUCUUCUGCGAUCGGGCCAGCAUCAGUUCGGGCGGCCGGAUAAAGGCAUCGGGAAUGUAGCACCCUUCGGGGUGUGUUAUAGCCCGGCGCGGAAUGCGGCCAGCCUGGACUGAGGAUCUCGCUUCGGCAAGGAUGCUGGCGUAAUGGUUGUAAGCGGCCCGUCUUGAAACACGGACCAAGGAGUCUAACAUCUAUGCGAGUGUUUGGGUGUCAAACCCAUGCGCGUAAUGAAAGUGAACGGAGGUGGGAACCCUUCGCGGGGUGCACCAUCGACCGAUCCUGAUGUCUUCGGAUGGAUUUGAGUAAGAGCAUAGCUGUUGGGACCCGAAAGAUGGUGAACUAUGCCUGAAUAGGGUGAAGCCAGAGGAAACUCUG